rnacentral:rRNA from 1 species
UACGUAGGGUGCGAGCGUUGUCCGGAAUUACUGGGCGUAAAGAGCUCGUAGGUGGUUUGUCGCGUCGUCUGUGAAAUUCCGGGGCUUAACUUCGGGCGUGCAGGCGAUACGGGCAAUACUUGAGUGCUGUAGGGGAGACUGGAAUUCCUGGUGUAGCGGUGGAAUGCGCAGGUAUCAGGAGGAACACCGAUGGCGAAGGCAGGUCUCUGGGCAGUAACUGACGCUGAGGAGCGAAAGCAUGGGUAGCGAACAGGAUUAGAUA